CUAAAUAUGAAUCAUCCUCAUGCAUCUAUAUCUAACAUACUAAAUUUUAUGUGGUGCAUAUGGAAAGCCAGAAAUGAUAAGCUUUUUGACAGACGCAAUUCUCAACCUCAUCAUGUUCACACUGCUGCAAAAGCUUUGUCUGACCAAUAUAUGACUGUGUCAAUUUCUUCUAAUCAGGGACAAGCUAUUGAUCAAGUUCAUCAGCAAGGAAAUAGUUGUGUUAUUCCUGCUCAAGGGCACACUCUCAAAUCUGAUCUUCUUAUAUCUGGAGCAAAAAUUUAUUCUGAUGCUGCUUUUAAAUGUGCAAAGGUUCCAGGAUUACCACAUGGCACAACAGCUACAGGAGUAGGAGUGUUUCUCAGUUUUUCUCAGGACCAAGCGGAAGUGAAUGUGCAAAUUCAAGCUUCUACCCAGAACACCAGCUCGCCACUUCAAGCAGAAGCUCUUGCUUUGCUUUUUGCAGCUCAAGUCGCCCGUAGACUUCAGAUCUCUAGGCCUACUUUUCUUACUGAUUGCCUCUCUUUGGCAAAAGCAGCGGCGGCAAGAAGUGUAUUGGCAGAUUCCACCCCUUGGACCAUCAGAACUUCUCUAGCUGAAUUUUUCUCCUUUACAAAUGAUCUCCAAGCACAGGUGUAUCACAUAUCAAGAGAGAUCAAUGGUAUUUCUCAUAAUGUGGCUCAUCAGGUUCUUAGAAGUUUACCAGAAC
rnacentral:rRNA from 1 species